rnacentral:rRNA from 1 species
AGAGUUUGAUCAUGGCUCAGAUUGAACGCUGGCGGCAGGCUUACACACAUGCAAGUCGAACGGUAACAGGGAGAAGCUUGCUUCUUUGCUGACGAGUGGCGGACGGGUGAGUAAUGCUUGGGAAUCUGGCUUAUGGAGGGGGAUAACUACGGGAAACUGUAGCUAAUACCGCGUAAUAUCUUCGGAUUAAAGGGUGGGACUUUCGGGCCACCUGCCAUAAGAUGAGCCCAAGUGGGAUUAGGUAGUUGGUGGGGUAAAGGCCUACCAAGCCGACGAUCUCUAGCUGGUCUGAGAGGAUGACCAGCCACACUGGAACUGAGACACGGUCCAGACUCCUACGGGAGGCAGCAGUGGGGAAUAUUGCACAAUGGGGGGAACCCUGAUGCAGCCAUGCCGCGUGAAUGAAGAAGGCCUUCGGGUUGUAAAGUUCUUUCGGUGAUGAGGAAGGUGUUUGUUUUAAUAGAACAAGCAACUGACGUUAGUCACAGAAGAAGCACCGGCUAACUCCGUGCCAGCAGCCGCGGUAAUACGGAGGGUGCGAGCGUUAAUCGGAAUGACUGGGCGUAAAGGGCACGCAGGCGGUGACUUAAGUGAGAUGUGAAAGCCCCGAGCUUAACUUGGGAAUUGCAUUUCAUACUGGGUCGCUAGAGUAUUUUAGGGAGGGGUAGAAUUCCACGUGUAGCGGUGAAAUGCGUAGAGAUGUGGAGGAAUACCGAAGGCGAAGGCAGCCCCUUGGGAAUAUACUGACGCUCAUGUGCGAAAGCGUGGGGAGCAAACAGGAUUAGAUACCCUGGUAGUCCACGCUGUAAACGCUGUCGAUUUGGGGAUUGGGCUUUAAGCUUGGUGCCCGUAGCU